UGAGUGAUAGACGAGCCUGGUAGCUAGUCGGGCGCAUAACCCGAAGGUCGUCGGUUCAAAUCCGGCCCACGCAACCA
rnacentral:tRNA from 1 species